AUCUUGAUUUAAUUUUGAACGAGUGGCGGACGGGUGAGUAACACGUGGGUAACCUGCCCUUAAGUGGGGGAUAACAUUUGGAAACAGAUGCUAAUACCGCAUAAAUCCAAGAACCGCAUGGUUCUUGGCUGAAAGAUGGCGUAAGCUAUCGCUUUUGGAUGGACCCGCGGCGUAUUAGCUAGUUGGUGAGGUAACGGCUCACCAAGGUAAUGAUACGUAGCCGAACUGAGAGGUUGAUCGGCCACAUUGGGACUGAGACACGGCCCAAACUCCUACGGGAGGCAGCAGUAGGGAAUCUUCCACAAUGGACGCAAGUCUGAUGGAGCAACGCCGCGUGAGUGAAGAAGGCUUUCGGGUCGUAAAACUCUGUUGUUGGAGAAGAAUGGUCGGCAGAGUAACUGUUGUUGGCGUGACGGUAUCCAACCAGAAAGCCACGGCUAACUACGUGCCAGCAGCCGCGGUAAUACGUAGGUGGCAAGCGUUAUCCGGAUUUAUUGGGCGUAAAGCGAGCGCAGGCGGUUUUUUAAGUCUGAUGUGAAAGCCCUCGGCUUAACCGAGGAAGUGCAUCGGAAACUGGGAAACUUGAGUGCAGAAGAGGACAGUGGAACUCCAUGUGUAGCGGUGAAAUGCGUAGAUAUAUGGAAGAACACCAGUGGCGAAGGCGGCUGUCUGGUCUGUAACUGACGCUGAGGCUCGAAAGCAUGGGUAGCGAACAGGAUUAGAUACCCUGGUAGUCC
rnacentral:rRNA from 1 species